AACCAUUCAUAAUCUCCAUUUACUCACCAUUAUUGCAUAAUUUGAGAUAUGGUAUCCACAGCAUUAGCUCGGGAGAAUUUUGAGAUUUUUCAUAACUAUUUUUUCCCUUGUUGAAUUCUCUCGUUGCAAUUCGAGUAAUUUGUCAAUAAGUUUUAUCUAGGUUAUUUAUAUAGGGUGAUUA